AGAACGAACGUUAGCGGUGUGACUUAGGCAUGCAAGUCGCGCGUGAAAGUCGUAAGACGAGUAAAGCGGCGAAAGGGUGCGUAACACGUAAUCAAUCUACCCUCGAGACUGGGAUAGCCACUGGAAACGGUGGGUAAGACCAGAUGGUCCACUGGGAGGCAUCUCCUGGCUGGUAAACGGUGGCGUAAGCUGCUGCUCGGGGAGGAGGUUGCGGGCUAUCAGCUAGUUGGUGGGGUAACGGCUCACCAAGGCGAUGACGGCUACCGGGUCUGAGAGGACGGUCCGGCACACUGGGACUGAGAACUGCCCAGACUCCUACGGGAGGCUGCAGUCGUGAAUCUUCCGCAAUGGGCGAAAGCCUGACGGAGCGACACCGCGUGUAGGAUGAAGGCCUUCGGGUUGUAAACUACUGUCACGUUCUAGGAACUGCUCAGUGUGAAUAGCACUGAGCUCGACCAAGACGGGAGGAAGCACCGGCUAACUCUGUGCCAGCAGCCGCGGUAAGACAGAGGGUGCAAACGUCGUUCGGAAUUACUGGGCAUAAAGCGCACGUGGGUGGUCCGCUUAGUCGCGUGUGAAAUCCCCCGGCUCAACCGGGGAAUUGCGGGCGAUACUGGCGGGCUAGAGAUCGGGAGGGGUGAGUGGAACUCCAGGUGGAGCGGUGAAAUGCGUAGAUAUCUGGAGGAACACCGGUGGCGAAAGCGACUCACUGGCCCGAUACUGACACUGAGGUGCGAAAGCUAGGGUAGCAAACGGGAUUAGAUACCCCGGUAGUCCUAGCCGUAAACGAUGGGUACUGGGCAGGGGGGAUAUCUAUGUCUUCUCUGCCGGAGCUAAUGUGUUAAGUACCCCGCCUGGGGAGUACGCUCGCAAGGGUAAAACUCAAAGAAAUUGACGGGGGCUCACACAAGCGGUGGAGCAUGUGGUUUAAUUCGACGCGAAGAACCUUACCUAGCCUUGACAUGCAUGGAUUCGUCCUAUGAAAGUAGGACUACAGCCCUUCGGGGUCGGAACAUGCACAGGUGUUGCAUGGCUGUCGUCAGCUCGUGUCGUGAGAUGUUGGGUUAAGUCCCGUAACGAGCGAAACCCCUAUUGUUAGUUGCCAGCGGGUAAAGCCGGGAACUCUAGCAAGACUGCCGUUGUCAAAACGGAGGAAGGUGGGGACGACGUCAAGUCAUCAUGGCCCUUAUGGCUAGGGCGACACACGUGCUACAAUGGUCGAUACAAAGGGUUCCAAGACCGCGAGGUGGAGGCAAUCCCUAAAGUCGGCCCCAGUUCGGAUUGAAGGCUGCAAUUCGCCUUCAUGAAGCCGGAAUCGCUAGUAAUCGCGGAUCAGCCAUGCCGCGGUGAAUAUGUUCCUGAGCCUUGUACACACCGCCCGUCAAGCCACGAAAGCGGGGAGCGCUCGAAGUCACUAUGCCCAACCGAAAGGGGGGCGGUGCCGAAAGCGAGACUCGUGAUUGGGACUAAGUCGUAACAAGGUA
rnacentral:rRNA from 1 species